CUGGGAUAAGAUCGUGAUCAACGGUGAGUGGUAGCCAAUAUAAAAAAGUGGAAAUUACUAGAAACCCUAGUAUUAAAAUCCUCAUUUCUCAAAACAGAUUGGUACUUUAAUCUUUCAAAAAUCAGAAAUAUUGUAAUCUAAUUUAUGGUAAUUAAUUAAUUAUAUUUAAUUAUCCUCCCCCCCUCCCCCCAACAAAAUCCUAUAUCCUUUUCAAUAUUUUCUCUCUCAUUCAUAAUCGGGACGCCAAUCACUUUCUCUCUCCCCCAAUCUCAUCCUCUCUCUCUCUAUACACAAAAGCUGGCGCUGAUCGAGAUUGGAAGCUGCUCCCGCCAACGCGAUCGUGGAGUUUGUGUGGUGGCAGUGUUGGCAACCAGUCAGUCUCCGACAGAUCGCUGUGUGGUGGAUAUGUCGAUGCGAUGCAGAUCGCGGUGACGGUGUACGACAGCGACGUGAGGCUGCAGAUCCCCCAAACAUAUUUUGUCUCUCUCACCUCUCGUCGCCUUCACGAGCAGCGCAUAAGCCGACGGGUGGAGAUGCAAUGGUGGCGACGGCUGAAUCGGGUUUGGAAAUUUUUUGGUCGGUGUAGUCGUGGCAGAGAUGGAUUCUUGGUUUGUGGCGUCUCUUUUUGGGAUGGAUUUGUGGUAAUUUUUUAGGUGGUUAUGUGUUGGUGGUCACUUGUGGUGUGCAAGGCCUCGUGAUAUGGUGAUGCCGCGAUUGAUAUUUAAAAUCUCUGCGUUGUGGUGGCUUUGGCGACGACGGUGGCUUUAUUGUGGUGGCUCCACUUUGGCGGUGGUGUGGUAGUGUGUGGCAAUGGUGUGUGUGGUGUGGCAGUGUUGCUGUAGGGGUGUGUGUGUGUGUGGCGGUGGUGUGAUGGUUGUGACAGUGGUUGUAGUGGUCAUUGCGGUUUGGUUGAUGUGACAAAUAAUUGGACUUGUGACCUAAAAAUUGUGAAUGUAACUCCCAAUUAUAACUCACAAUUUGGGAGUCACAAUUGAUCGUAGCAAUUUUGGUGGUUAUGGUGAUGGUCGUGACGGUUUGGUUGAUUUGUGACUCACAAUUAGAUACGUGACUUGAAAAUUGUGAUUGUGACUCACAAUUGAAUACGUGACCUGAAAAUUGUGACUAUGAAUCGUAAGUGUUGGUAGUGGUCACAAAUUAUUUGGUUAACUGUGACUAUUAAAUUGUUUGAUCUGUAACUAAUAAAUAAUAUGUGAUUAAUGAAAAAGAUAAAUUGUAACCGAAAAAUAAUGUGUGACAACUAAAAAAGAUAAAUUGUGACUGAAAAAUAAUGUGUGAUGUAAAAAAUUGUUGAUCUGUGACCGAUAAUUUGUGACUAUAUAAUAAGCUGUGACUUAUAAUAUUUGUGAUCUGUGACCAAUAAAUAAAUCGUGACUUAUAAAUUUUUCAAUUUAUGACCGAUGAACAAAAUGUGACCUAUAAAAUUUUUGAACUGUGAUCGUAAAAUAAAUUGUGACAUAAAAUUUCUGAUUUGUGACUAAAAAAUAAUAAGC
rnacentral:lncRNA from 1 species